UCAGGAACCUGGGCUGCUGAGUUUUCUUUCACAGGGAACAUGGCUGGCAUUUGUGUUCAGGGGCCUGUGGCCCUGAGUGGGCAUCCACCUCCUGAAAUUCAGAAUUGUGCAGGAAGGAGCCCAUAAACAACCUACCUCCACUUCAAAUCUGAGCUUCCUUGACAGUCCCAAGGAACCUGGGGUGGUGAUAUUGGUGCUGGGAUCCCUGACGCCUGGGAAGAAUGAUGUCUGAAUUCCAAUUAUUUCAGAAGGCUAAUUAAUUAAUUUAUUAUAUUAUACUAUAUUACACUAACAAGAACUAACUAACUAACUAGAAAACCCGUGGCUCUCUCCUCAGAGUCCUGACACACACGUGGAUCCAGCUGGUCAAUGAAUCCAAACAGCAUCACCAGAAUCCAACAAGCAAUCACCUGGGGUAAACAAUCCCCAAACCACAUUCCACAUGGGCACAAACAGGAGCAGCAAAUGAGGUGCGUCAGCGGCGCUCCCUGUCCGAGUAGUUUCGUUUCCUGUAGUAGUGCGUGUGUGGAACUGAAUGAGAGGAGCUCCGAGCACGCUCCGUGCCGCUGCCCGCGGCCGGCUCUGCCGGCAGAUGGCAUUCCCAGCACGCUGCUCCCCAGUACGGACCAGUAGGAGCCGUGCGAACGGUAUGUACCCAACGUGCCUUGAUUUCGGAAGGCACAGCUAUUUUAGUGCCCCGGAGUGCAUUAAAAACCACCCAAAACAUGUCAUUAAAUUAUUUUUUUAGCCUUA